GACCCUGUUGGGGAGCAGCCUGAGACGCC
rnacentral:sRNA from 1 species